GACGAACGCUGGCGGCGUGCCUAAUACAUGCAAGUAGAACGCUGAAGGAGGAGCUUGCUUCUCUGGAUGAGUUGCGAACGGGUGAGUAACGCGUAGGUAACCUGCCUGGUAGCGGGGGAUAACUAUUGGAAACGAUAGCUAAUACCGCAUAAGAGUAGAUGUUGCAUGACAUUUUCUUAAAAGGUGCAAUUGCAUCACUACCAGAUGGACCUGCGUUGUAUUAGCUAGUUGGUGAGGUAACGGCUCACCAAGGCGACGAUACAUAGCCGACCUGAGAGGGUGAUCGGCCACACUGGGACUGAGACACGGCCCAGACUCCUACGGGAGGCAGCAGUAGGGAAUCUUCGGCAAGGGACGGAAGUCUGACCGAGCAACGCCGCGUGAGUGAAGAAGGUUUUCGGAUCGUAAAGCUCUGUUGUAAGAGAAGAACGAGUGUGAGAGUGGAAAGUUCACACUGUGACGGUAUCUUACCAGAAAGGGACGGCUAACUACGUG
rnacentral:rRNA from 1 species